GCCCAGCUCCAGGGUGCCUCCCACUCUGCCCAGCAGGGCCUCGAGGUGCCGGCGUAUCCUUGAGUCUGCAGACGUAAGCCAGGAGGAAGACAGGGCAGCAGAUCCACAAGAGCCUUCAUCUGCUCGGCUGGAGAACCAGUGCCAUGGGCCUGGCUGGCCUCUCCUCCCGUCCACACCUCCUGCUUCCUCAUGGAGUCCCGGAUGGUGGUCAGGAGCUGCGCCCCAGGACAGUGAGCACCUGUGGCCCGACUACAUCCCACAAUGUCUUCCUGUGAGUCAAGAGGCCCCUGAGGGCAGGGCUCCUGCACCGGAAGCAGCAGAAGGCAGCUGCUCACGAGAGGAAGUCAAGUGUGGCCCCUGAGGGUGGACCAGCAGACAGCCUGUACUGACAGGAAAGCGUGUGGGGGCAAGGACACGGCCCAGGGUGACUACCAUGAGGAAAGCUGCAGUAAAAGAAAUGUACAGAACAUCUUCCAGUGACAGGAAGCCGCCCACUUAGUAUGGAGCCACCCAGGGAAAUAGGUGACAAGGUGGGAGCCACGUGACGGGAGCUUUGGAGUCUGAAUUUUCCUCAGCAAUAGGUGGGAGCCAGCAAUGGCUGUAGAGCAGGAGACUAAUGACUUCAGAUGCACACUGCAGCUGGUGUCCACGCGGGAGGGUGAGUGAGACUGU